AACUGCGUCAACGCUGCCGCCGUGGCCGGACACUCCACCCUGUCCUUCAAUGGUACCACCUGCCUCACCUACAACACAACUGUGCCGAGUUUCUCAUGCGCUAACCAGCAGGCAGCAGCGGCAAACCCCGUAGUCAUCUACCAGGCCAACCCACCUCUGGUCCAGCCCAAUUUCGGUUCAUUCAAAGUACUGACAGUGGCAGCAACCUUUGAUGUGAACAACAACUUCGACGUGACGUGGACAGCAGAAGACGGCGGUUGUUCCUACCCCGGUUUUGUCAUCACCGUCGCCGGUCUGGUGAAGUACGUCGAAACGCUUACGUUCCAUGCGAAUUUCGUCGUUGGUGCCGGAAGAAACUUCGCACGCAACGGAGGAAACGUCGCGGUUGCCUACGGGUUGCCAACUGGAGAGACUUUCGGCCAAAGUUCGAGUACCACUGCGGUGGAAGCCACUACCACAACCACUUCGACAACUACCACGUCGACAACUACCGACUCUGCGACAGGCAUUGGCACUGACAUUGGCAUUGUGACCGCACCGGGUAGGUUCGAUACAGUCGCUUGAAAGACGAAAACUCCAUCGACAUCCUGUGCGACGCUGACGAAUUUUCCAGUCUGGGUCGUCGGCAUCUAACCUCUUAAGAUGGCCCGGCCCAUUCAAGUCUUUAUAAUCACCUGAUAAACUAAUAACUCUAACCAAUCUAUCGUUGAAAUACCUUUGAUUUACUGUUAUUUCGUCAACGUCAUUUGCGCUGGAGGGGUCGACCCUAACAAAAUUUAGAGUCGCCCCAGCUUCUGGUAUCCCAAAUCAGAAGCUGCCGCGUCUGUAAAUUUUCACUGGGGAGAACCUCACCUUGAUGCGAAUCUUACCUUGAUGAGAAAUUAUAUAUCAGAUAAUUAAUAUGUAAUUUUGGAUUUUCAGUAACUCUAUAUAAAUAUGUUUGUUUAAUCAGUAAAUUGAUAAAGGUUUGGA